rnacentral:rRNA from 1 species
CGCUGGCGGCGUGCCUAACACAUGCAAGUCGAACGGAGUUGAACCGCUGAAUUGAUGGUAGCUUGCUACUAGAUUUUCUUGGUGCAACUUAGUGGCGGACGGGUGAGUAACGCGUGAGCAACCUGCCUUACAGAGGGGGACAACAUUGGGAAACCGAUGCUAAUACCGCAUAACAUAUAUUUAAGGCAUCUUAGAUAUAUCAAAGGAGCAAUCCGCUGUAAGAUGGGCUCGCGUCCGAUUAGAUAGUUGGUGAGGUAACGGCCCACCAAGGCAACGAUCAGUAGCCGACCUGAGAGGGUAAUCGGCCACAUUGGAACUGAGACACGGUCCAAACUCCUACGGGAGGCAGCAGUGGGGAAUAUUGCACAAUGGGCGCAAGCCUGAUGCAGCAACGCCGCGUGAACGAAGAAGGUCUUCGGAUUGUAAAGUUCUGUCCUUGGGGAAGAAACAAAUGACGGUACCCUUGGAGGAAGCCCCGGCUAACUACGUG